rnacentral:rRNA from 1 species
GACGAACGCUGGCGGCGUGCUUAACACAUGCAAGUCGAACGGUGAAGCGCCUUCCUUUUUGGUGGGUGUGGAUGAGUGGCGAACGGGUGAGUAACACGUGAGUAACCUGCCCCCUUCUUCUGGAUAACCGCAUGAAAGUGUGGCUAAUACGGGAUAUUCUGGGUCUGUCGCAUGAUGGGUCUGGGAAAGAUAUUGUUUCGGUGGGGAUGGGCUCGCGGCCUAUCAGCUUGUUGGUGGGGUGAUGGCCUACCGAGGCGGUGACGGGUAGCCGGCCUGAGAGGGUGGACGGUCACACUGGGACUGAGACACGGCCCAGACUCCUACGGGAGGCAGCAGUGGGGAAUAUUGCACAAUGGGCGCAAGCCUGAUGCAGCGACGCCGCGUGAGGGAUGGAGGCCUUCGGGUUGUGAACCUCUUUCGCCAGUGAAGCAGGCCUGCCUCGUUUGUGGGUGGGUUGACGGUAGCUGAAUAAGAAGCGCCGGCUAACUACGUG